CCCCCAUGGGUUUGGAGGCCCAGGAGAAGGAUGCGGCACACUGGGCUGGGAGAAGUACUAGCCAUUUUAAGGAGAGGACAGAGGAAACUCGGGGUGUGUGUCGGGGACCCUGCUUUCACCUAGUUAUCCAGCAUAUUUGCAGGAGACAUAGCAGAGGUGGUGUUUGAUCUGUGUGGUGACAUUUCUGAACGCUUGGGCAAGUUAGAGUUGGGGACCCUUGUUGGCUACUUGACUCCUGAUGGGGGAGCUUGGGCCACGUCUUCUUUGGGGGGACCUCUCAUGGGGGAGCUGGGGAACAGAGCCCAGGGAAAGGGCAGAGCUUUCAUUCUAGACCCACCUCUGAGUAGAAAGAGGGUGCCUGCUGCCUAGGUGGUAGCACCCCAGGAUUCUAGCUAGCACUUCUGGGCUUCCCCACCAACCCUGCCCAGAGCCAGUCCCACUCACUCCUGAGAACGCAGGCCAGACACAGCUGUGCUCACAUCCACCCUGUCCCGCUGCAGCUCUUCCACCCCAAACAAAAGGGCUUGGGCUACACAAGACCAUGAUUUAUGUUUUCAGGGGACCCCGUUUGUCCCAGGCUAAUCCUGUAAUUUUAGAAUGACUUGGGUGUCCUGAUGCAUUUCCCACUAGAGGCUGCUAGUAAGCAUGUUUCAGCCCAAGUCCUCCUUCCUGCUUUGAUUAACCUGAUAUGUUGCUUUCGGAAGGAGACUCUAGGACAGGGAAAGCAAGUUCAUGGUACCUAGGUGUCUGCUGCCCCGGUUUCACCCAUGGCAGACAUCGCUAAUCGAUCGCAGCACUCUCUAUCUCGCCGAGUCUGGAUAAGGGUUCGGAAUCCACAUGCUUGAAGUUGGCACUUAACGUGAAAAACGAUAUGCUCUUCUUACUCUGGGACCUGGAGGAGGGCUGGGCCCGGGUGCAGCCCAAGAAGGGAACUUGCUUCUUUUCCCUUUCAAAGACAGUUCCAGCUGACUCAGGGCAAAGGAAAGACACCCCUCAGAAUGUGAUCAGUGCAGCUUGGUUCAGAACUCACCCGGUGAAUAGAGUGUGCCUGGCCCUACCCUUGGAGCUGACGUUAACCGGAGCAGCUUGGGCCCAGUUCCUGGUGACUGGGGAGCUCUAAUCUUUCCUUUGACGUGGUCAGUGGCCAGCCGAGCCAUGCCCAGGGUCACCCAGUACCCACUCUGCCUUGAGCCUCCCCCCAGGGUCUGUUCCUUGCGUGGAUCACAUGGUCGUAGCAUGCUGCGGUUCAGACACGUCUCCACUAGCCUGUUAGAACAGCCUGGGAACGUACAGGCCAUCAAGACUAUUUAUUUAAAUACAAAACAAAAGGAGGAAAACACACACACACGGAAAAAAAUUGUAAGCACUUUUUUGUAAAACCAAUGUCUGUUUUGUUACAUACCUUUCAUGUUGUGCUUUGUAAAUGUCUUAUUUGUGUAAUAAAUAAAGUUAAUGCAAGUAGAAGUGCUGGCACUGACA